rnacentral:lncRNA from 1 species
UCUCUUUGUAGGUCAAUUCAGUGAACUCAUUCCUCUAAUGAGCACCCACAUCUUUGUAUUAGUGUCUCCACACAAAUGAUUGUGAGAUCAAUCAUCCUCUGCAUCGAGCAUACAUAAGACAUGCCAGUCUUUCCGGUAAUCAUUGAUCCCCGACUCAAUGUACCAAUGACUGGGAAUAUUUAAGAUUAGGAUUUUAAGUCUCACUAGUAUGAUCUCGUCGGUCACUUAAGACCGUAUCUCGACGUCUCGAGCCAUCCCGACGGAUCGGGGCAUCCCGACGUCUCGGGGCAUCCUGACCGUGGUCAGGGUAGGAGAACGAGCCGAGUUCGUUGGCCGAUGGGGAGCGCAUCACGAACUCACGAACCGUCUUCAGGGAGUCCACGUAGGUACUCUAUCAUCCCGAGAUAUCGGGGCAUCCCAACCACGGUCAGGGGAGGAGAAAUAAACCUGGGACCAUGAGAUAACCAGGAAAAUCGGUGAGCUUGAAAUGAGUAUGCAGGCCAUAAGUUUAUUAUGAAAU